GGCAGCAUGGGGGUUGCUUGCAAUCCCUGAUGGCGACCGGCGCACGGGUGAGUAACGCGUAUCCAACCUGCCCUUGUCCGCGGCACAGCCCGUCGAAAGGCGGAUUAAUGCCGCAUGCGGUCCGAAGACGACAUCAGAUUCGGACGAAAGGUUUAGGCCGGAGAAGGAUGGGGAUGCGUCCGAUUAGCUAGACGGCGGGGUAACGGCCCACCGUGGCGACGAUCGGUAGGGGUUCUGAGAGGAAGGUCCCCCACAUUGGGACUGAGACACGGCCCAAACUCCUACGGGAGGCAGCAGCGAGGAAUAUUGGUCAAUGGGCGUAAGCCUGAACCAGCCAAGUAGCGUGCAGGACGACGGCCCUACGGGUUGUAAACUGCUUUUGCGCGGGGAUAAAGUGAGGGACGUGUCCCUCAUUGCAGGUACCGCGCGAAUAAGGACCGGCUAAUUCCGUGCCAGCAGCCGCGGUAAUACGGAAGGUCCGGGCGUUAUCCGGAUUUAUUGGGUUUAAAGGGAGCGCAGGCGGUUGGGAAAGCGUGCCGUCAAAUGUCGGGGCUCAACCCCGGAAAGCGGCGCGAACUGUCCGACUUGAGUACGCGGAAGGCAGGCGGAAUUCGUGGUGCAGCGGUGAAAUGCAUAGAUAUCACGAAGAACCCCGAUUGCGAAGGCAGCCUG
rnacentral:rRNA from 1 species